AGAGUUUGAUCCUGGCUCAGGAUGAACGCUAGCGGCAGGCCUAAUACAUGCAAGUCGAACGGUGAUAUUUAUAUCAUAGUGGCGCACGGGUGCGUAACACGUAUGCAACCUACCUAUUAUUGGGGGAUAGCCUUUGGAAACGGAGAUUAAUACCGCAUAAUACGAUUAACUGGCAUCGGUUGAUUGUUAAAGCAUUUGCGAUAAUAGAUGGGCAUGCGUCCAAUUAGUUAGUUGGUGUGGUAAUGGCUCACCAAGACGAUGAUUGGUAGGGGAUCUGAGAGGAUAAUCCCCCACACUGGCACUGAGAUACGGGCCAGACUCCUACGGGAGGCAGCAGUAGGGAAUAUUGGGCAAUGGGCGGAAGCCUGACCCAGCCAUGCCGCGUGCAGGAAGACGGCGUUAUGCGUUGUAAACUGCUUUUUUAUAGGAAGAAGGAUCCCUUGCGAGGGAAGGUGACGGUACUAUAAGAAUAAGCACCGGCUAACUCCGUGCCAGCAGCCGCGGUAAUACGGAGGGUGCAAGCGUUGUCCGGAUUUAUUGGGUUUAAAGGGUGCGUAGGCGGUUUAUUAAGUCAGUGGUGAAAGACGGUCGCUNCACGAUUGCAGUGCCAUUGAUACUGGUAGACUUGAGUGAG
rnacentral:rRNA from 1 species